CUGAUGCCCGCGUCGCGAUA
rnacentral:snRNA from 1 species